rnacentral:rRNA from 1 species
GUGGCGAACGGGUGAGUAACACGUGAGUAACCUGCCCUUGACUCUGGGAUAAGCGUUGGAAACGACGUCUAAUACCGGAUACGAGCUGGGACCGCAUGGUCACCAGCUGGAAAGAACUUCGGUCAAGGAUGGACUCGCGGCCUAUCAGCUAGUUGGUGAGGUAACGGCUCACCAAGGCGACGACGGGUAGCCGGCCUGAGAGGGUGACCGGCCACACUGGGACUGAGACACGGCCCAGACUCCUACGGGAGGCAGCAGUGGGGAAUAUUGCACAAUGGGCGCAAGCCUGAUGCAGCAACGCCGCGUGGGGGACGACGGCCUUCGGGUUGUAAACCUCUUUUAGCAGGGAAGAAGCGAAAGUGACGGUACCUGCAGAAAAAGCACCGGCUAACUACGUGCCAGCAGCCGCGGUAAUACGUAGGGUGCAAGCGUUGUCCGGAAUUAUUGGGCGUAAAGAGCUCGUAGGCGGUCUGUCGCGUCUGCUGUGAAAACCCGAGGCUCAACCUCGGGCCUGCAGUGGGUACGGGCAGACUAGAGUGCGGUAGGGGAGAUUGGAAUUCCUGGUGUAGCGGUGGAAUGCGCAGAUAUCAGGAGGAACACCGAUGGCGAAGGCAGAUCUCUGGGCCGUAACUGACGCUGAGGAGCGAAAGCGUGGGGAGCGAACAGGAUUAGAUACCCUGGUAGUCCAC